rnacentral:rRNA from 1 species
CACGUAGGCGGCAAUGCAAGUCAAAGGUGAAAGCCCUCGGCUCAACCGAGGAACGGCCUUUGAAACUGCGUUGCUUGAGUCCGGGAGAGGGGAGCGGAAUUCCCAGUGUAGCGGUGAAAUGCGUAGAUACUGGGAGGAACACCGGUGGCGAAGGCGGCUCCCUGGACCGGUACUGACGCUGAGGUGCGAAAGCGUGGGUAGCAAACA